AAAGAAAGUGGAAGAAGGAGAAGGUUGAGAAAAAGAGGAAGAGAGGAAAGAAGAAAAGAUCAUAUGAAAAGCCCCUUCCUCAUAAAAAGAAAAAUCAUAGGAAGGAAAAGAAGUUCAAGCACUGUAUGGAGAUCUUCAAGAAAUUGGAGAUCAAAAUUCCUAUGAUCGAAACAUGGAAACCGAUGCUUGGUUUGAUCAACUUUUUGAAGAGAUUCAGCAGGAAGAAGAAAAAGAAGAAAAUAGCAAGCAAAAGGAGUAUCAACGCCUACUGAUGUGUGUUUGAACUCUACCGGGUCAAGCUAAUGACGUUAAAAGAGUGCUAACUGGGAGGCACCCCAAUGAUUGUUGUAUACUAUUUUUCUUUUUGUUGGAUUUGUAAAUUUGGUAUUU
rnacentral:lncRNA from 1 species